GACGAACGCUGGCGGCGUGCCUAACACAUGCAAGUCGAACGGAGAUUUCAGCAAUGAAAUCUUAGUGGCGAACGGGUGAGUAACGCGUAGGCAACCUGCCUUUUAGAUGGGGACAACACCGCGAAAGUGGUGCUAAUACCGAAUGUUGUAUUUUAAUCGCAUGAUUAGAAUACUAAAGAUGGCCUCUGUAUAUGCUAUCGCUAAAAGAUGGGUCUGCGUCUGAUUAGCUAGUUGGUGAGGUAAUGGCUCACCAAGGCGACGAUCAGUAGCCGGUCUGAGAGGAUGAACGGCCACACUGGGACUGAGACACGGCCCAGACUCCUACGGGAGGCAGCAGUGGGGAAUCUUCCGCAAUGGACGAAAGUCUGACGGAGCAACGCCGCGUGAGUGAAGAAGGUUUUCGGAUCGUAAAACUCUGUUUUCAGGGACGAAUGUGCAGAUUGUAAAUAAUGAUUUGUAAUGACGGUACCUGAGUAGAAAGCCAUGGCUAACUACGUGCCAGCCGCCGCGGUAA
rnacentral:rRNA from 1 species